CCUACGGGAGGCAGCAGUGGGGAAUAUUGGGCAAUGGGCGCAAGCCUGACCCAGCAACGCCGCGUGAAGGAAGAAGGCUUUCGGGUUGUAAACUUCUUUUCUCAGGGACGAAGCAAGUGACGGUACCUGAGGAAUAAGCCACGGCUAACUACGUGCCAGCAGCCGCGGUAAUACGUAGGUGGCAAGCGUUAUCCGGAUUUACUGGGUGUAAAGGGAGUGUAGGCGGGAAAGCAAGUCAGAUGUGAAAACCAUGGGCUCAACCUGUGGCCUGCAUUUGAAACUGUUUGUCUUGAGUACUGGAGAGGCAGACGGAAUUCCUAGUGUAGCGGUGAAAUGCGUAGAUAUUAGGAGGAACACCAGUGGCGAAGGCGGUCUGCUGGACAGCAACUGACGCUGAGGCGCGAAAGCGUGGGGAGCAAACAGGAUUAGAUACCCGGGUAGUC
rnacentral:rRNA from 1 species